rnacentral:rRNA from 1 species
ACAUCGGUCCAAUCCUUAAAGUCAUCCUCAGUUCGGACUGGGUCUGCAACCCGACCCCACGAAGCUGGAUUCGCUAGUAAUCGCGCAUCAGCCAUGGCGCGGUGAAUACGUUCCCGGGCCUUGUACACACCGCCCGUCAAGCCAUGAAAGCCGGGGGCGCCUGAAGUCCGUGACCGCGAGGGUCGGCCUAGGGUGAAACCGGUGAUUGGGGCUAAGUCGUAACAAGGUACC